UACAGAGGGUGCGAGCGUUGUUCGGAUUUAUUGGGCGUAAAGAGCGUGUAGGCGGCCAUUCAGGUCAGCUGUGAAAACUCGAGGCUCAACCUCGAGACGUCGGUUGAAACCGUUUGGCUAGAGUCCGGAAGAGGAGAGUGGAAUUCCCGGUGUAGCGGUGAAAUGCGCAGAUAUCGGGAAGAACACCCGUGGCGAAGGCGGCCCUCUGGGACGGUACUGACGCUGAGACGCGAAAGCGUGGGGAGCGAACAGG
rnacentral:rRNA from 1 species